rnacentral:rRNA from 1 species
GAUGAACGCUGGCGGCGUGCCUAAUACAUGCAAGUCGAGCGAACGGACGAGAAGCUUGCUUCCCUGAUGUUAGCGGCGGACGGGUGAGUAACACGUGGAUAACCUACCUAUAAGACUGGGAUAACUUCGGGAAACCGGAGCUAAUACCGGAUAAUAUUUUGAACCGCAUGGUUCAAAAGUGAUAGACGGUCUUGCUGUCACUUAUAGAUGGAUCCGCGUUGCAUUAGCUAGUUGGUAAGGUAACGGCUUACCAAGGCAACGAUGCAUAGCCGACCUGAGAGGGUGAUCGGCCACACUGGAACUGAGACACGGUCCAGACUCCUACGGGAGGCAGCAGUAGGGAAUCUUCCGCAAUGGGCGAAAGCCUGACGGAGCAACGCCGCGUGAGUGAUGAAGGUCUUCGGAUCGUAAAACUCUGUUAUUAGGGAAGAACAUAUGUGUAAGUAACUGUGCACAUCUUGACGGUACCUAAUCAGAAAGCCACGGCUAACUACGUG